rnacentral:pre_miRNA from 1 species
CCUACACCCAUGUGUAUAGGACCCUAAAGGAUCACCAUUAAAUUUGGCACAGAUCUCUAGAAAAAUUAUCAUAUGGGUGUGGGACUUGAUUUUUCUAGAGAUCUUUGUCAAAUUUAAUGGUAAUCCUUUGAGGUCCUACACACAUGGGUGUGGG